UCCUGUCUGAACAUGGGGGGACCACCCUCCAAGCCUAAAUACUCGUAUGUGACCGAUAGCGAACCAGUACCGUGAGGGAAAGGUGAAAAGAACCCCGGGAGGGGAGUGAAAUAGAUCCUGAAACCGUAUGCGUACAAGCAGUCGGAGCGGACUUGUUCCGUGACGGCGUACCUUUUGUAUAAUGGGUCAUCGACUUGGUCUAUCUAGCAAGCUUAAGCCGUUAGGUGUAGGCGCAGCGAAAGCGAGUCUGAAUAGGGCGCAUGAGUUAGAUGGAUCAGACCCGAAACCGAGUGAUCUAGGCAUGGCCAGGUUGAAGGUUGGGUAACACCAAC
rnacentral:rRNA from 1 species